rnacentral:rRNA from 1 species
CCUACGGGCGGCUGCAGUGAGGAAUAUUGCACAAUGGAGGAAACUCUGAUGCAGCAACGCCGCGUGGAGGAUGACGCAUUUCGGUGUGUAAACUCCUUUUAUGAGUCAAGAAAAUGACGGUAGCUCAUGAAUAAGCACCGGCUAACUCCGUGCCAGCAGCCGCGGUAAUACGGAGGGUGCAAGCGUUACUCGGAAUCACUGGGCGUAAAGGACGCGUAGGCGGACUAGAAAGUCAGAUGUGAAAGCCUAUGGCUCAACCAUAGAAUUGCAUUUGAAACUUCUAGUCUAGAGUGUGGGAGGGGGAGAUGGAAUUAGUGGUGUAGGGGUAAAAUCCGUAGAUAUCACUAGGAAUAUCUAAAGCGAAGGCGAUCUCCUGGAACAUUACUGACGCUGAGGCGUGAAAGCGUGGGGAGCAAACGGGAUUAGAUACCCCAGUAGUC